rnacentral:ncRNA from 1 species
GAGCAUGUGGUUUAAUUCCAUGCAAAGCGAAGAACCUUGCUAAAGCUUGACAUGUUGCGAAUCUUUUUGAAAGAGAGGGUCCCUUUGGGACAGCGGGGGAUACAUACAUGUGGUGCAUGGCUGUCGUCAACUCAUGUCGUAAGGUGUUGGGUUAAGUCCCGCAACGAGCACAACUCUUGUGUUUAGUUGCCACCAUUGAGUUUGGAACCCUGAACAGACUGGUAGCGACCUGUAUAAGAAGAACAAUGAUCUAAAAGCUGAUUUUCUCACUAUGUAUAUCAUCCUA